ensembl:processed_transcript Trerf1 transcriptional regulating factor 1
GGAGCUUAGGAACGGUUGCUAGGGCACACCCCCUUCCCUCUAUGCGAUGGCUGAGAGGCGGUGCAUGCAGAUGGGGACUCGGCUCGCCCCCCAUCUCACCCCCCCAAGUGGAGAUUGGUCGUCUUGUCGGAUUGCCCAGGCACUUGUUGCCGAAACAGCCAAGGCUCCAGCUCCAGAGGUCAGUGAAGGAGGAAGACACGGGAGCAAGACUACCCUGAAGGGCUCACCAGCGGUCUCAACCCUGAAACAGACCCGGGUCUCUUCUUCCCACCUGCCGAGCAGCAUGUGAGCAGCAUGACUGGCCAGCUGCAGGAGAAGCCCCCAGAGCCAGGACCGCGACACAGCCACCCGCUGCCAAGGUCAAGGUGUGAAGGACUUUCCCCCACCACGGUGGUGUCUGGUCCGUACCUCCGCCCGGGUGAGGAUGUAGGCACCUCGGCUCUGCUGAUGACCUGUUCAAGCCAACAGGGACCCCUGUCUCCAGCCACCCUCACAGACAUGUCAGCCGUGGAGUAGGGUGGACGCUUUCUCUCAUCUUCUCAGGGUUUCAGGAUUUUUCUUCUUUCUUUUUUUCUUUUUUUUUUUCUUGGUUUUUGGUUUUUGUUUUGUGGCUGAACACUCAUAAGCAAAGAGGACAUCAUGGGGGACCAGCAACUGUACAAGACCAAUCACGUGGGCCACGGUGGUGAGAACCUCUUCUAUCAACAGCCACCCCUUGGUGUCCACAGUGGGCUGGGCCACAGCUAUGGGAAUACAAUCUCUGGGGCUGGGAUGGACGCCCCGCAGGCCUCACCCAUCUCGCCUCACUUCCCUCAAGAUACUCGGGAUGGUCUCGGCUUGCCUAUUGGCUCCAAAAACCUUGGCCAGAUGGAUACCUCCAGGCAGGGAGGAUGGGGAAGCCAUGCAGGGCCUGGGAACCACGUCCAGCUUCGUAGCAACUUGGCCAACUCAAACAUGAUGUGGGGGACGCCCACCCAGGUGGAGCCCGCUGAUGGCUACCAAUACACUUAUUCCCAGGCCAGCGAGAUCCGGACCCAGAAACUCACCAGUGGUGUUUUGCACAAGCUGGACUCUUUCACCCAGGUAUUUGCCAACCAAAACCUGCGGAUUCAGGUCAACAAUAUGGCCCAGGUGCUGCACACCCAAUCAGCGGUGAUGGAUGGAGCCUCCGACAGUGCCCUCCGUCAACUGCUGUCUCAGAAGCCCGUGGAGCCCUCAGCAUCAGCUAUAGCUUCCCGCUACCAGCAGGUGCCCCAGCAGCCUCACCCUGGCUUCACGGGUGGACUGCCCAAACCAGCCCUUCCAGUCGGGCAGCACGCUCCCCAAGGGCACCUGUAUUAUGACUACCAGCAGCCCCUGGCCCAGAUGUCCAUGCAAGGAGGACAGCCACUGCAAGCCCCUCAGGUGCUGUCCGGCCAUAUGCAACAAUUGCAGCAGCACCAGUAUUACCCACAGCCGCCGCCUCAGCAGCAGCAAGCCGGACUGCAGCGGAUCUCUGUGCAGGAGAUGCAGCAGCAGCAGCAGCCGCAGCAAAUUCGCCCCUCACCACCUCAGCAGCAGCAGCAGCUCCAGCUGCAGCAGCGGCAGAGUUCACUGCAGAUACCUCAGUAUUAUCAGCCCCAACCCAUGAUGCAACACUUGCAAGAGCAGCAGCAGCCAUCCAUGCACCUGCAGCCACCCUCAUACCACAGGGACCCUCAUCAGUAUACCCCGGAGCAGGCACACGCUGUCCAGCUGAUCCAGCUGGGCUCUAUGCCCCAGUAUUACUAUCAGGAGCCUCAACAGGCCUAUAGCCACCCCCUCUACCCGCAGAGCCACCUGUCCCAGCACCAGCAGCGUGAAGACGGUCAGCUGAAGACAUAUUCUAGUGACAGACAGACCCCGGCUAUGCUGAGCUCCCAUGGGGACAUGGGAACUUCUGAUACAGGAGUGGCAGAUCCAGCCAGCUCAGAAAUGACUCGGGUCACUAGUACUCUUCCUCACCAACCGCUCCUGUCCCCCAGUGGGAUCCACCUCAACAACAUGGGGUCUCAGCAUCAACAGCCGCCAUCUCCCAGUGCGAUGUGGCCCCAGAUGCACUUACCUGAUGGGAGAGCCCAGUCCGGAUCCCCGGAAUCAAGCAGCGGCCAAACCAAAGGAGUGUUUGGGGAACAGUUUGAUGCCAAGAACAAGCUGACAUGCUCCAUCUGCCUGAAGGAGUUCAAAAGCCUGCCCGCCCUGAACGGCCACAUGCGGUCCCACGGGGGGAUGAGGGCGUCCCCCAGCCUCAAACAGGAGGAAGGAGAGAAGGCCCCACCGCCUCAGCCUCAGCCCCAGCCUCAGCCCCAGCAGCCACUGCCACCUCCGCCUCCUCCGCCGCCGCCACCGCAGCUCCCUCCUGAGGCAGAGCGCCUCACGCCUAUGGUCAUGCCCGUGUCUGUCCCUGUCAAGCUAAUCCCACCCAAGCCCAGCUCUCAGGGGUUCACCAACAGCGUCGCUGCCACCCCCGCGGCCAGAGACAAGCCAGCCAGCUCGAUGUCGGACGACGAGAUGCCUGUGCUCGUGAGGAUGACCCUCUCCCCCCCUCACUCCCCCCAAGGGGCUGCCCCCCGUGCGCCUGCUGAAAUCCCCCGGAAACAUCCACCUAUCGCCGCCAAAGUUGAGGAGCCCCUCAAGAACCUACCAGAGAAGAAGAAAUUCCGGCACCGGCCUGAGCCCCUCUUCAUCCCACCACCGCCUUCGUCCUAUACUCCCAACCCCACCUCUUACUCGGGGGCCACCCUGUACCAGAGCCAGCUGCGCUCCCCGCGAAUCCUCGGGGACCACCUGCUCCUGGACCCCGCCCACGAACUGCCCCCCUACACGCCGCCACCCAUGCUGAGCCCUGUGCGCCAGGGCUCAGGGCUCUUCAGCAAUGUCCUCAUCUCUGGCCACGGCCCUGGAGUGCACCCCCAGCUGCCCCUCACUCCCCUCACGCCCACGCCACGUGUGCUGCUGUGCCGUUCCAGCAGCAUCGAUGGCAGCAAUGUGACAGUCACCCCAGGACCUGGAGAGCAGACUGUGGAUGUUGAACCACGCAUCAACAUUGGCUUAAGGUUCCAAGCAGAGAUCCCAGAACUGCAAGACGUCUCCGCCCUGGCUCAGGACACACACAGGGCCACACUGGUAUGGAAGCCGUGGCCUGAGCUGGAAAACCAGGCCCUCCAGCAGCAAGUGGAGAAUCUUCUGAAUUUGUGUUGUUCCAGUGCGCUGCCAGGUGGAGGAACCAAUUCGGAAUUUGCUUUGCACUCUCUCUUUGAGGCCAAAGGUGACGUGAUGGCUACCCUGGAAAUGCUGCUGCUGCGGAAGCCAGUCAGGUUAAAAUGUCAUCCUUUAGCAAAUUACCACUACGCCGGUUCUGACAAGUGGACAUCCCUAGAAAGAAAACUGUUUAAUAAAGCAUUGGCCACUUACAGCAAAGACUUUAUUUUUGUACAGAAGAUGGUGAAGUCCAAGACAGUGGCUCAGUGCGUGGAGUACUACUACACUUGGAAGAAGAUAAUGCGACUAGGCCGGAAACACCGGACACGCCUGGCGGAAAUCAUUGACGACUGCAUGACCAGCGAAGAGGAAGAGGAGGCCGAGGAGGAAGAAGAGGACCCAGAAGAAGAUAGGAAAUCCAUAAAAGAAGAGGAGAGUGAAGUGGCCAAGUCUCCAGAGCCACCGCCUGCCCCUGCCCUGGCUCCCACUGAGGGGCCACCCAUGCAGGCUGUUGGCCAACAACCAUCAGGCAACUUCAUUUGUGAAAUGCCCAACUGUGGGGCUGUGUUCAGCUCCCGACAGGCACUGAACGGUCACGCCCGCAUCCACGGCGGCACCAACCAGGUGGCUAAGACCCGAGGUGCCAUCCCCUCUGGGAAGCAGAAGCCAGGUGGCACCCAGAGUGGGUACUGCUCAGUGAAGAGUUCACCAUCUCACAGUACCACCAGUGGAGAGACGGACCCCACCACCAUCUUCCCCUGCAAGGAGUGUGGCAAGGUCUUCUUUAAGAUCAAAAGCCGGAAUGCGCACAUGAAAACCCACCGGCAGCAAGAGGAGCAGCAGAGGCAGAAGGCUCAGAAGGCAGCCUUCGCAGCAGAAAUGGCAGCCACCAUCGAGAGGACUACGGGGCCGGUGGGGGCGCCCGAGCUGCUGCCCCUGGACCAACUGAGUCUGAUGAAGCCAGUCAAGGACGUGGACAUCCUGGAUGACGAUGUGGUCCAGCAGUUAGGCGUCAUGGACGAGGCCGAGGUGGUAGGCACGGAUCUUCUCUUGGACGACCAAGAUUCGGUUUUGCUUCAGGGUGAUACAGAACUCUAAACCCUCCCGUUCAUCACCUAGAGACACAGAAGCCACGGCCUCCACCUCUGUCACCCGUAGAACCUGGACUUCCUGCUCCUUUGGAAACCCUUUUAAACUACCUGUUUAAAAAGCGGUCCUUUUCUUCAGGUUAAGGGAGGGGAAAAAUCCAGUUCUUUCUCUUUUACCUUCUUUUACAUUGUUUUUGUUGGGGGUUGGGGGGAAUAAAAAAAAUUGGCACAACUAUC